UGGCUCUCGCAUCGAUGAAGAACGCAGCGAAAUGCGAUAAGUAAUGUGAAUUGCAGAAUUCAGUGAAUCAUCGAAUCUUUGAACGCACCUUGCGCUCCCUGGUAUUCCGGGGAGCACGCCUGUUCGAGUGUCAUGAAAUUCUCAAGCCGGAUGCUUUAUUGCUGUCCUGGCUUGGAUUUGGGCUUUGCUGUGUCCUUGCGGGUAUAGCUGGUCCUAAAUGCAUUAGCUGGUCCUUAUGUGGAUUUGGUUCUACUCGGCGUGAUAAUUAUCUAACGUUGAGGACAUUCCUUCUGGGAUGGCCAGGUCUUGUUUGGACUGCUUCUAAUCGUCUUAGGACAAUUAUUAUUCAAUCUGACCUCGAAUCAGGUGGGACUACCCGCUGA
rnacentral:misc_RNA from 1 species